rnacentral:tRNA from 1 species
UGCUACUAAGUUAAAAACAAUUGUCUUGAAAACAAUAUUGGGGUCAAAGCCCAGUAGCCA